AUUGAACGCUGGCGGCAGGCCUAACACAUGCAAGUCGAACGAGUGGCGGACGGGUGAGUAAUGUCUGGGAAACUGCCCGAUGGCGGGGGAUAACUACUGGAAACGGUAGCUAACACCGCAUACUAUCGGAUGUGCCCAGAUGGGAUUGGCUAGUAGGUGGGGUAACGGCUUACCUAGGCGACGAGCCCUAGCUGGUCUGAGAGGAUGACCAGGCAAACGGGAACUGAGAAACGGUCCAAACGCCUACGGGAGGCAGCAGUGGGGAAUAUUGCGCAAUGGGCGCAAGCCUGAUGCAGCGAUGCCGCGAGUAUGAAGAAGGCCUUCGGGUUGUAGAGUACUUUCAGCGAGGAGGCGUUACGCGCAGAAGAAGCACCGGCUAACUCCGUGCCAGCAGCCGCGGUAAUUC
rnacentral:rRNA from 1 species